rnacentral:rRNA from 1 species
CCUACGGGAGACAGCAGUGGGGAAUAUUGGGCAAUGGAGGCAACUCUGACCCAGCAACGCCGCGUGAAUGAUGAAGGUCUUCGGAUUGUAAAGUUCUGUGAUGGGGGGUGAACACAAUGACGGUACCCCAAUAGCAAGCCACGGCUAACUACGUGCCAGCAGCCGCGGUAAUACGUAGGUGGCAAGCGUUAUCCGGAAUGACUGGGCGUAAAGGGUGCGUAGGUGGUUUAGUAAGUUGGCGGUGAAAUUCCGGGGCUCAACCUCGGCGCUACCGCCAAAACUAUUAGACUAGAGUGCAGGAGCGGUAAGUGGAAUGUAUAGUGUAGCGGUGAAAUGCGUAGAGAUUAGGCGGAACACCAGUGGCGAAGGCGGCUUGCUGGACUGUAACUGACGUUGAGGCUCGAAAGCGUGGGGAGCAAACAGGAUUAGAUACCCUGGUAGUC